rnacentral:rRNA from 1 species
UUGACGGGGCCGCACAAGCGGUGGAGCAUGUGGUUUAAUUCGACGCAACGCGAAGAACCUUACCAGGGCUUGACAUCCCCUGACCGCGUAUGAAAGUACGUUUUCACCCUCGGGUGACAGGGAGACAGGUGGUGCAUGGUUGUCGUCAGCUCGUGUCGUGAGAUGUUGGGUUAAGUCCCGCAACGAGCGCAACCCCUACGUUUAGUUGCUAACGCGUGAAGGCGAGCACUCUAGACGAACUGCCGUUGACAAAACGGAGGAAGGUGGGGAUGACGUCAAAUCAUCAUGCCCCUUAUGUUCUGGGCUACACACGUGCUACAAUGGCCGGUACAGACGGACGCAAAGCCGCGAGGUGGAGCAAAUCCUAAAAAGCCGGUCUCAGUUCGGAUUGCAGGCUGCAAUUCGCCUGCAUGAAGUCGGAAUCGCUAGUAAUCGCAGGUCAGCAUACUGCGGUGAAUACGUUCCCGGGCCUU